rnacentral:tRNA from 1 species
GGAGAGAUGGCUGAGUGGCUUAAGGCAACGGUUUGCUAAAUCGUCGUACGGGUAAACCGUACCGAGGGUUCGAAUCCCUCUCUCUCCG